CAGCCAAUGUCUUGUUACAGAUGGGUCACCAGCCGAUAACCAGCGAUAGUAUCGCGCAGUCUAUAAAUAACCAUACAGCUGUAAAAUACCCCACCUGAGCAACAAUAUGAAACCACUUGCUGCAAUGAUCCAGCGUGACCCGUCUGAUGCAGAUCGCUAUCUUCGCUCGACUCAGUCCACCAUUUUAGAUUAGGCUCUUUGUGUUAUAAUCAUAUUAGAAUGUUCCGUAAAUUAAUCUUUUCAUCUGUUGAACAAUGCGGAAUGUGCAGUUACCACUCAUCAUCGAAGUUUCUUCAUUCAAUGCCUCCCAUCUCUGUGAAUCGUGAUAGUGUUCUACUGCACUCUCUCUUGUUCUCGCAACUCAAAAGUGAUUUGUAACAUGGGCAGUCCAAUCGUCACUGAUAUGUUUUAUGUGAAACCAACAAAGUAUUGAUAAGGUCCCGGAGGGAAUCGCAAAAAUGCUCUUUAGUUUAUAAGCGUGACAGUGCACAUUGUGAUCCUCGUAACGUUUUUCCGUUUUCCUUCGCGAUCCUGACAUGUUCGCGCGUUAUUGUUUUAUUUUAAUUUAUUAUUAUUUUAUGAAUUUUUAAAUUGUAUACUUUGUUACGUUAAGAGUUUUGAAUUAUAUUGACUAACACAUACUAAACAAUUCUAACGCAUGACUUUUAUUUUACAAAAUCAACUCGCGAGUGUGCAUGACGUUAAAGUUUUUAAUAUUUUUAAUGUUUUAUAAUAUGUUAAGAUAGACAACCUGCUACUCUGACAUGCGUAUCUUAAAACAAAUGUGAUAUUGAUUUUGAAAUGUUUACUUCAACAAUUUGUACAUAAUGUAAUCGGAAUAAUUCAAUGAUGAGAUCGAUCAUAUAAUUGUCGUACGCCUUGCUCCAUAAAACUUGAUUUUAGGUUACAAUCGAAUCAUUACUUAAAUUCGAGUUUUAGUUCUUGCAUGGCAAUACCCGGGGAUUGCAUUCUAGUUUUUUGUAAGAUGAAAAAUUUGAUUAUGCAAUCUGUUUAAUUUAUAAAAUGUUAAUUAUGAAUUAGUUGAGAAUUGUUUUAUAAUUAUUGAUUUAGAAUCGUUCAAUAAACAUUUCGGCAUGAA